CCUACGGGAGGCAGCAGUGAGGAAUAUUGGUCAAUGGGCGAGAGCCUGAACCAGCCAAGUCGCGUGAAGGAUGACGGCCCUACGGGUUGUAAACUUCUUUUGUCAGGGCGCAAUUGGGUCCACGCGUGGGCUUAGCGAGAGUACCUGAAGAAAAAGCAUCGGCUCACUCCGUGCCAGCAGCCGCGGUAAUACGGAGGAUGCGAGCGUUAUCCGGAUUUAUUGGGUUUAAAGGGAGCGUAGACGGCAGUGCAAGUCUGGAGUGAAAGGCGGGGGCUCAACCCCCGGACUGCUCUGGAAACUGUACGGCUGGAGUGCAGGAGAGGUAAGUGGAAUUCCUAGUGUAGCGGUGAAAUGCGUAGAUAUUAGGAGGAACACCAGUGGCGAAGGCGGCUUACUGGACUGUAACUGACGUUGAGGCUCGAAAGCGUGGGGAGCAAACAGGAUUAGAUACCCGAGUAGUC
rnacentral:rRNA from 1 species